rnacentral:rRNA from 1 species
UACAUGUGGGGCAAGCGUUGUUCGGAAUUACUGGGCAUAAAGGGUGCGUAGGCGGCUUGUUAAGUCAGGGGUGAAAGUUUUCGGCCCAACCGGAAAAUUGCCUUUGAUACUGGCGAGCUGGAGUGCGUGAGGGGUGACCGGAACGAGUGGUGUAGCGGUGAAAUGCGUAGAUAUCACUCGGAAGGCCAACGGCGAAGGCAGGUCACUGGUGGCGCAACUGACGCUGAGGCACGAAAGCGUGGGGAGCAAACAGG